rnacentral:lncRNA from 1 species
CUUCAUAUGAAGAUGGAGGCAGAGGAGCCAAGAAACACCAAGGAUUGCAGGUGAAGCCAGAAGCUGAGAAAGUGGAGGAAAUGUCUCUCUUCCUAUGGAUGCCCAGCCUCUGCCCUUGUCUUCUGGACCCCACCUCCUUUCUACCACACAAGUUGGCAUGAUGACAACGUAUUUGGCCCUGGCAAUAGAUUAUGGCUGGUACAAACCAGUUCUCAGGAUAUCUUACAACUAGAGGCAGCCUUAAGACCCUGUUUUGUCGAGAAUACCUACUUGGAAGUCUAGUCAAAAGAUACUGCUUCCAAUGAGCACUCUCUCAAAAACCUCCAUAAUACCUCUCCUUCUCCAG